rnacentral:rRNA from 1 species
AACACAUGCAAGUCGAACGGGGCGAUUUAAGCUGCUUAGAUGAGCCUAGUGGCAAACGGGUGAGUAACGCGUAGGCAACCUGCCUCUAAGAUGGGGACAACAGAGCGAAAGUUCUGCUAAUACCGAAUGUUGUAUCUUUUCCGCAUGGGAGAGAUAUUAAAGAUGGCCUCUACUUGUAAGCUAUCACUUAGAGAUGGGCCUGCGUCUGAUUAGCUAGUUGGUGAGGUAACGGCUCACCAAGGCGACGAUCAGUAGCCGGUCUGAGAGGAUGAACGGCCACAUUGGGACUGAGACACGGCCCAGACUCCUACGGGAGGCAGCAGUGGGGAAUCUUCCGCAAUGGGCGAAAGCCUGACGGAGCAACGCCGCCGUGAGUGAAGAAGGUCUUCGGACCGUAAAGCUCUGUCGAAGGGGACGAACGUAACCUUUAUCAACAACGAGGGUUAAUGACGGUACCUUUCAAGAAAGCCACGGCUAACUACGUGCCAGCAGCCGC